CGGAUCACGCCGCGUGAGUGAAGAAGGUUUUCGGAUCGUAAAACUCUGUUGUUAGGGAAGAACAAUGCGUUCGAAUAGGGCGGCGCCUUGACGGUACCUAACCAGAAAGCCACGGCUAACUACGUGCCAGCAGCCGCGGUAAUACGUAGGUGGCAAGCGUUGUCCGGAAUUAUUGGGCGUAAAGCGCGCGCAGGUGGUUUCUUAAGUCUGAUGUGAAAGCCCACGGCUCAACCGGCUGGAGGGUCAUUGGAAACUGGGGAACUUGAGUGCAGAAGAGGAAAGUGGAAUUCCAAGUGUAGCGGUGAAAUGCGUAGAUAUUUGGAGGAACACCAGUGGCGAAGGCGACUUUCUGGUCUGUAACUGACACUGAGGCGCGAAAGCGUGGGGAGCAAACAGGAUUAGAUACCCUGGUAGUCCACGCCGUAAACGAUGAGUGCUAAGUGUUAGAGGGUUUCCGACCUUUACUGCUGCAGCUAACGCAAUAAGCACUCCG
rnacentral:rRNA from 1 species